rnacentral:rRNA from 1 species
UACGGGGGAUGCAAGCGUUAUCCGGAAUCAUUGGGCGUAAAGCGCCUGUAGGUUGUUUACUAAGUCUGUUGUUAAAGACUAGGGCUUAACCCUAGAAAAGCAAUGGAAACUUGUAGACUAGAGUAUGGCAGGGGUAGAGGGAAUUUCUAGUGUAGCGGUGAAAUGCGUAGAUAUUAGAAAGAACACCGGUGGCGAAAGCGCCCUACUGGACCAUUACUGACACUCAGAGGCGAAAGCUAGGGUAGCAAAAGGGAUUAGAUACCCCUGUAGUCCUAGCCGUAAACGAUGGAUACUAGAUGUUGUGCUUUUGUACAGUAUCGUAGCUAACGCGUUAAGUAUCCCGCCUGGGGAGUACGCUCGCAAGGGUG